CCCGGAUGUUUUGAUGUUUUUACCAUUCUUGUGGGAGGCUUCUCUCAUGUCCCCGCAUGGAGCUGGAGCUGAUAGAGGGAGCUCAUCCGCGCUGUCCCCGGGUGGGAUUCGAACCUGGCAGCCUUCAGGUCAGCAACCCAACCUUCAAGUCACAAGGCUUUAACCCACUACUCCACUGGGGGCUCCUGUCAUAGAUGCUGGCGAAACGUCAGGAGAGAAUGCUUUUGGAACAUGUCUAUACAACCCGGAAAACUCACAGCCACCCAGUGGGAGUUGAGGUCCACAACACCUGGAGGGCCGACCUUUGCCCACGCCUGGUGUAGAUGGACGCGGAGACUGCGACGAAGAGGCAACACAGGGCGAUGACUUUUGUUUGGGAGGAGGUGAGGAUGGCUGAAGCCUAAGAGGCGGGGUGACCAUUCCCAAGAGAAGGAGGGGGGUCUUUGGCUCAGGAGGCGUGGAAAGGGGAGGCUCCCUCCCCGCCUGGCCCCUCCCGGGUGUUUGUGGACGGACCACGUGGCAGAGGCGAGUCAGGCUCGCUCCGGAGAGACUGGCAGCCUGGCUCCUCUUUGAACCCGCAUUCGUCCCGCCAGCCAGCAGCGGGUUGCCCAGCCCAGCAUGGAAGGCAGGAGGCUCUGCCGCCUCGCCGCCCUUUGGUGCCUCUUCGCGGGAAAUCUCCUGCCCAUGCCAGGAUAUGGACAGAAUUUGGCAUCAGUUCCAUCCAGCAGUGAUACUGGCAACCUUAGCUCUUGGACAAAUGGAUCAAUUGCUACCAGUACGGAAGACAGCAAUAUCACAGUCACUUCACACUUCAAUGUCAGCAGCUCUACCCCACCUGAACUUCUGGCUCUCACCACACUUGGAUUCUUGAAUACCACAACAACCCAGAGUACAGACCGUGUCACUAAUAGUAGCAAUGGCAUUCCCUCCCUUCCUAAUCCAACUACAAAACUCGUGGAAGCUAACCAGUCUGUUCUGAAUGAUACCAAAGCCAUUAAUUUCACAUCUUGGGAAACCUCCAGCCCUAACUCCACAGUGACAGAGACCUCUCAAUCAGAGAUGCAAGGGCCAACAGCUCCCCAGCCACAAUCUUCCACACUCAGCACUUUGGAACCUAUGAAAAGGAGACAAGAAACCACACCAGUGACAGACCAUGAAGCUAUCACAGAGGAAAGCAUUAUCAAAUCCACAUCGGCUCCAACUGCUGCUGAUGGAAGAGUUCUUGGAGUUUCAUCUAGUACCAUCACAACAUCUGGUGUUGUCUCUUCCACACUCCUGGACCACAAUGUCAAACCAGUAAAAACAGAGCAACCCACUAACCAUGUACAAAAGGCAGCUGUAGCUGAGAUGGGAGGUGAUGGUGAAGAUCUGCCCAGUAUGCUGGAAACCACUUCCAUACGGGAAGAUCCACUGAUGAUUGCUGUCAUCUUCAUCUUCACUAUUAUAGUAGGAAUUGUCGCUCUCAUGGGUUUCUUGCGAUAUCGUCAGCACAGUGGUCGUCUACAGUUUCGACGACUUCAAGAUUUGCCCAUGGAUGACAUGAUGGAGGAUACGCCUCUCUCCCUAUACAGCUACUAAGCAACUUUGAAGAUCAUUUUGUAAUUCUUAUAAAUCAAAAGAGCCCCAACACAGCAAGGAUCCCAACUGAGAAGAGACUUCCCUCCAAGAUUUGCAAACUGUUGUGUCGAUUUACAAGUUGAGAGUCAGCAAAUUAUUCCAUAUUCAUAUUUUUGAGAACUGAAGCCACCCAGAUCUCUCCCUGUUACCUUUGUACUUUCUUUGCUUGGAGACAAACAACUCUGAGGGGAAAAAUCACAAACUCUUGUCAGGUGACUACAAUAAUUCAUUAAAGCAAAGGGAGAUCUAGCCUGGAUUCCAAGUAGCAGCAUUGCAGGACUCUUACACAAGAAGGUGCUAAAGCAAGCCAGCCCUUUGCGAGUGUUACUUGCAAAUAUACAUCCAACAAACGAUGACUUAGAGGCAUUGUUGGUUCCCUUCUUGAGCUUCAUUUUGUUUUAACCGCACUUAUAUUUUGACUUUUCAUCCAGAGGAGCCAAAGAUGUUCCAAGAGGAAAAGGCAGGAAAAUGGGAAAUGAUUCUUUCCAUAAGAGCCCUUCUGAUCAGACCAAACCUCCGUUUAAUUUGACAUCCUGUCUUCACAGCAGCUAGGCAGAUGCCAUGGAAAAGCUCAGAGAUGGAAGACAAUCAUCAUAUACUGGCAGAUGGUGUUUGGCGACCUGUUGAAUAGUUUGACUACUCUAGAAGCAUUUUCCUCUUACAUUGAGUUCAAGGUGAAGUAAAAGAUAACUGUGAUUUGAACAACAUGGGCAUAAAGCAGUGUAUUCUCUGAUUCUCUAGCAAAUUGUGCUGUUCAGCCAUAGCACAUGAGAUGCCCAUUAAUUAUUUCAUAUCUAGUCCUUAAAUAUACAUGUCCAGUCCUAACAGCACUGUUUUAAUUCCCGACUCCUAAGCAAUGGAACUCUGUUUUAUAGUCUUGAUUUCUUUCAUUGGAAAAUGUGUCUAGAGAUCCCUGCUGUUUACUUGCUAAUUGGAUCAGCAACAUGAAUAGUCCUUGCUAGUUAGAAGAGUCUCAGGAUGGACUCUUUACAUUUAUGCUCCCAUCCCACCCCCACACUGUUCCCACACAUAGCUUUCAUUCUCUACCUGUUCUUUCUCCCUUAUUACAUACAUCAGAGAAACAACUUUGUGCCUUGCCUGUAAAAUUAAGCCCAAUGUAUUGCAUAUAUCUAGAUGUGAAAUUUAGAUUUGCUAGUGCCUAAAUUUGCCAUAUAGUUCCAAGUGUUGAGGUGUAUAGCCUGCCCCUUAUGCUGUUGUAUGAGAGUUAGGAAUGGGGAAUUUGCUACCUUCAAUUUUAGCCUCAAAGAGGCUUCCUCCUAUAAGUGUAGAGGUGUUUCUUGUCUUUGAAUUCUCUUAAACUUUGCUUGUUUUUUCUUGCCAGUUUCUAUUUCUCUUUCUCAUUUUCAACUUUUAGCUUUUCUAGGUGUCAGAAAUCAUACUUACUCAUAUGUAAGGACUACUUUUGAACAGGCAAGCUUAUUAACUUAAUAAUAUACUUAAUAAACUUUAUUUAUAGUCCGCUCUAUCUCCCCGAGGGGACUCAGAGCAGAUUACAGGUACAUAUAUGGCAAACAUUCAAUGCCGUAAUAUAAUUGACAAAGACAGACAGUACAUAAACAGAGGCAAGGCUUCCCUCUUUUCAUCUCCAGCAUCUGGCUGUGCUCGACUCGGCCAUGGGGAGGAGUUGUGGUUUCAUUUUCUACACCAAGGAGCCUGUCGCCCAUGGAUGCCUUUCCUGGUAGGAUUUUUGUUGGCAUUUUUUUUUCAGGUGCCUUUUACCUUCCCACCAAAGUGGUACCUAUUUAUUUACUUACAUCAUUGUUUCAAACUGCUAGGUGAGCAGAAGCUAGGCUAACUGCGGGAGCUCAUCCCGAGCCAGGCUUGAACUGCCAACCUUCCAGAUGGCAGGAUCUUCUAUAGCAGGUGGUUUAAUGUGCUGUCCUAGCCCAGCCCCUUCACCUCUUCAUGAGCAGGGAUGUUCAGUAGCUGCAGUUACUCAGGAAGGGAUAUGUGCCUCUGCCACAGGUUGGGGUUAUCCUCUAUGGCAGUGGUUCUCAACCUGUGGGUCCCCAGGUGUUUUGGCCUACAACUCCCAAAAAUCCCAUCCAGUUUACCAGCUGUUAGGAACCACUGCUCUAUGGUAUAUGAGGAGAAAACCAAUGUCCCCAGAAUUGCCUGGAUGAGGUUUCUAGUAGGUGCUGUCUGGAAAGAGGACAUAUGAAUGCUUGUCCUGCUCUGGUGGCUAAAGCAUGACCUGUCUGCCCUGGUCUGAAGAAAGGGACUUCACUUCCCCAACAUGCCCGAACAAUUUCCUCCCUAUAGGUCUUUUAGCACUGGCAGAAGGGCUACUGCUAGCUUCCCUCAACCUCAUCCCUGGCCUCCUAACAGCCUAGGCACUGACAGUGCAGAGGCUGCAGAACACAGAGUUUUCCCUCACCUGAUAGCCCUCUAUGGAUUCCCCCAUUCAUUUUUAUCUGAAGAAGGCAAGGACCUGGGCAUGCCUCAGCUGGCCUCGGCCCAUGAAGAGUAGGUCAUAGUAGGUUGUGAAAUUGCACUUUCACACUCUGACUCCCAUACCCAGACCUUUCAUAACACCCACCCACUUGACCUCUUGAGAGACGGAAGAACUCUCAAGGCAGGUUUAUGCAAGAAAAGAAUCCUGUUUGCUGACUGAGUUUAAGUGUUGCCGUUUCCCUGGAGACAUCCCAAAAAGGAUAUUUGAGGUUUCAUUGCACAAGCAAGGAGUUUGUUUGACAGCACUUCAAAUGGGCAAGGAGCCAGCCACUGAUAUGGUCCUUUGAAGGCAACAGAAGCCUUUGAAGGUUCCUCUGGGUUAGUUUUUAUUAAUUCCAGGCUCAGGCAUAAUUAUGUUCAUUAGGAAAGAGACUAGAAAUCAAUCUCAGUGGUUAACUUUGAAGCUAAAAGGGGGCGGGGUGUGUGUGCACAUGAAAAGAAACCGGGUCUACUGCAACCAAGCUACUUCCCGCUAGGAGUAUGACUCCCACAUGUCUGUGGUAAAGCAAUAGGAUAGUGGGCAGAUUUAUAUAAAAAUUGAGUCAACAAAAACAACCUGCAUUGGAACUUCCUUUUUUGGAGCAGAAAUUCUUUGCUUUGUGUUUACUGAAGAGCUUUGACUGGAAAAGCAGUUAGACUUAAGACUGGGGAGUGUUUUGAUAGCUUGUCAAACUCUUCAGUGCUAGCUAUGCAGCGCAAGUGGAAUUAGAUUGUAGGGCCACCCAGAGGGCAGAGUGGUUUGAUCAGUGUUCCCCACUGAACAUGUGGCAAAUAUUUGCCACUGCAUAAUGUGUGAAGUAGCCCACUACUUAACGAGGAAAAAACAAUUUGUGCAAGGCUUUAAAUAAUGUUAUUGAACAAAUAAAGAAGGGAUGAGAAAUCUACUGACGUAUAAAUGUUGCUGUACUCCAGCUGCUAUGAACCAUAGCAAAUAUGGCCAAUAGUGAAGAUUAUGGGAGUUUUAGAGCAGUACUAUCUGGAAGGAUGGGAUUCCCAUCAUUGAAUUAUAUGGUAGGCAGGGCUGUCCAGAGACCUUUUGUUGUCUGCCUGAACAAUCUCCAGCUUUAUGCUCUUGUUCCCAGGACUCUCUGGUCUCUCUCAGGAACCCAACAUUGAAAUCUCUGCACCACACUAGCUCAUUUAUAUCCUGCCUGAUAUUGCAAAUGAACCUGGUUAGAGCUUGUACAUUUUCUUUCAGUACCCCUGAAAACCAAACCAACCCAAGUAUUUCUAUUUGUAUGUUCAAGCUGACUUUGUUUACAAGAUAAACAUAUACCUAUCCUGGGAAUCACUUCAGCAUUACUGUUAUGAUUG
rnacentral:lncRNA from 11 species